UCCCUCGUGGCGCAAUUGGCUAGCGCGUUCGACUGUUAGACGCACACCUAGCUAUCGAGAGGUUGGUGGUUCGAGCCCACCCGAGGGAG
rnacentral:tRNA from 2 species